rnacentral:rRNA from 1 species
CCUACGGGAUGCACCAGUGGGGAAUAUCGCACAAUGGGCGCAAGCCUGAUGCAGCCAUGCCGCGUGAGUGAAGAAGGACUUAGGGUUGUAAAGCUCUUUCACCGGUGAAGAUAAUGACGGUAACCGGAGAAGAAGCCCCGGCUAACUUCGUGCCAGCAUCCGCGGUAAUACGAAGGGGGCUAGCGUUGUUCGGAAUUACUGGGCGUAAAGCGCGCGUAGGCGGAUAGAUAAGUCAGAGGUGAAAUCCCGGGGCUCAACCCCGGAAUUGCCUUUGAUACUGUUUAUCUUGAGUGCAGAAGAGGUAAGUGGAAUUCCGAGUGUAGAGGUGAAAUUCGUAGAUAUUCGGAGGAACACCAGUGGCGAAGGCGGCUUACUGGUCUGCAACUGACGCUGAGGCGCUAAAGCGUGGGGAGCAAACAGGAUUAGAUACCCGGGUAGUC